rnacentral:lncRNA from 1 species
CACAUGGCUUUACCUCUGCUAAUUCCAAUUGAACCUUAUAAAGAUAUUGUUACAGUAGUCCCUUUCUUCUUUCUUGGCUACAGGAUUGUCGCCUCACCCUCCGUAUAGCGUCUACCUUUAUAACUCAAUGACUUUUAAAAAACAAAUGUAAGAGUUGUCUUUUUCCAAAUAUAAUAAUAUCAUUAAAAAAGCAUGGAAUUACAAAGCUUGGCCUCAGACAAAACAAGGUAGCCCACCUAGAAUACAAACAUAACCAAACUCAGAGGAACCCAGGCCUGUUGAGCUACCUGAUCCAAAGAGAUGAUCGGGUGCGGAGGAGCUCCUCACGUUCAUCCUUCAUCAUAGUAACACCGAGUCUUCUCUUAGCAACCAUGGUGGCCGGCUUGAAGGAUACUUUUCAGAUAUGCUAGUAUCAAAACA